rnacentral:rRNA from 1 species
GACGAACGCUGGCGGCGUGCUUAACACAUGCAAGUCGAACGAUGAAGCCCUGCUUGCAGGGUGGAUUAGUGGCGAACGGGUGAGUAACACGUGAGUAACCUGCCCCUGACUGUGGGAUAAGCCCGGGAAACUGGGUCUAAUACCGCAUAUGACACUUGGCCGCAUGGUCUGAGUGUGGAAAGUUUUUCGGUUGGGGAUGGGCUCGCGGCCUAUCAGCUUGUUGGUGGGGUAAUGGCCUACCAAGGCGACGACGGGUAGCCGGCCUGAGAGGGCGACCGGCCACACUGGGACUGAGACACGGCCCAG